ACUGACAGACAUAAAACACACACACACACAGACACACAUGCCUAAAAACCACACACAAAUACACAUAUAAACGUUUUUCGCCUCACACGCAGACACACAACAGACGAGCAGACACAGACACACACACACACAUUAGGCAUACACGCAUACACACAAACAAGCACACAGACACCACAUGUACUCGUAUCUUUUGUCGCUGAACUGGUGGUUCCUAUGCUUAAAACCGUAGAAGGUAGUAAAGUGAAGAAAACACCAUACACAGAAUGUGUGUGGCUGUUGCGUGAAGACAAAACAAAACAAAAACAGAAUCAAGGAAUUUUCGAAAGCGCGCACACACACACACACACACACACACAUACAUACAAACACAUACAAACACAAACACAUAUGCAUACACACACAUACAUAUACCCACACUACACAAACACACACACGCGCACAACGAGCGUAGUCUGAAUGCCACCAUCGUCACCUCCGCCGCCAUUUUGUAUCGCCGGGGCUUGUAUUAUUAACACGGUUACUGUUACUACUACUAUGUCUAAUAAGAGAACCUCUAUCACUAUUUCUAUCAAACAUCAAUACCAACACUAACAUUAACACAAUUUCGGAGAAAACGACACUAGCGACAGAACACCCUCCACCACCACCACUAUCGGCACCACUGAGAAACAACACCACCAACGUCGCCAUUGUUAUCAUCACGACAAUCAACAACAAAAAGAAAAAACACCGCUGCCGCUUACCAAUAUCAGCAAAGAGGCUAACAAAUAAGAGCGACAAGGAGGACAAAUAGCAGUGACACCACCACCACCACCACAACAACAACAAUUACAAUCAACAGCACCAUCACCACCAUCACCCCUACUACUACCACUACCACCACUGCUGCUACCACAACUUCCGUCACGAUCUCCAACACCGCCGACGUCCACGGCACCGUCAACCCUACCAGUGUUACGACCACCGCCGCCAACACCACAAACAUCCACAACCGCUGUAGCAGCAGCAACAGCAGCAGCAACACCAACACUACAACAGUCACAAUUAUCACCACUACUACCACCACCACCACUAACAGCAACAGCAACAACACUAUCAGCACCACAUAGAAAACAAAAGCAAAUGAACGCAUCGCUAAUAAUACAUAUACAUUUGUAACUAUCUCACUAAUUGAAUUAACAUUAAACUUUUGACUUACAAACACGCACACACACAUAUUGAAGCCUACAUACAUACCCACACACAUAUCGAAGCCCACAUACACACACACACAGAUAAUGUUAUAUUAUAUAAUAUAUAAAGAAAUACAGAAUCGCAUAGAUGCACACAUGUACACAACACAGACGCACAUAUAAAAUUAAUUGAUAGAAAAUAAAGCGAAACGAAACACGUAGCCAAACAAUCACAAGAGUAAUAUAUAUAAACAAAAAAAUGUAUAUAUAAAAAUCUGCAUCACAAAUAACAAAUAACAAAAAAAAAAUAAAGCAAAAUAUAAAAGAAUUUUUCGCGCACACGCAUACACACGCGCGCACCGUGUGGGUAUAUUAUGUAAGAAAGUUUUCUGAUUCCAACAGACAUAUGGAUGACCAUCGGGGCCAAAUAUUUGCUGGUUUACUUGUAACCAAUUCCAGUCGGACAUGGAGCUAAAAAUAAUAAAUUAAAUUACGAAAACUCGAUGGCCUACUAUGCGGGUGAUUAUAGCCACGGUUUCCAAGAAGUUUCGGAAGCACCGAGGGAUUACCAAGUAAUAACCAAACUAGCGAUGUUGGCCAGUUCACAACAAUAUGCGGAAGAGGACCGGCAUCCAUUCACGAACAUCUCCUUGGAUGUAUUACCACCAUCCUGUAGCAAACUUAGCACGGUAAACGGUCCGGGAAUUAUGGAAGAAACUGUUGGAAAAGGAUUUCAACCAUGGAAGCGAGAAAACUGUUCUGUUGACAGCACGGCUACCUCUCCAUAUGUGUCACCAUUAGUGACACCUCUCAGUAAUACAAGUACAGACUUGAUCUAUUCCAGAAAUAAUGCUUUGGCACCUUGUUCAGGUACAUACACCAGUGACAUAUGCUGUCCAACCACGGCAACAUUUAGUCAUGCAGAAGGCGACUACUCAUCCGCUUGGAUGCACAAAUUAAAUGAUGAUAAUGCACUGGGUGCCUCCAGCUUCCAAAGUAUAUAUCAUCGUGUGUCCCAGAUCCGUAGUCAUCAACCUGACUCUCUGACGCUACAUUUACCUGGCAGCCGAAGCCACAAUCUGGGACAUGAAAACACAUCAGUGGUAAAUUCCACCUCAGCUUGGUGGGACCUGCAAAAAUCUCCCUCGAAAUGGUUAUCAGAAGACGCUAACAAAGCGGGCCGUAUUUGCGGACAAAUUGCCACUGGCUAUCCCACUAGCAAUUUGAUGACUCUCGGAACAAAGUCAAACUAUCUUACUCCUGCUCAAAGUAUUCUUCCAGACACGUACAAAUCAAUAGUCUCCUCUCGUUACGAGAUUGGUUCUACAAAUGUGACGUCAUACCUGAGCCCGUCUCGUAUAUCUGGUAUCAGUAACAACCGUUCCCAGAAAAGAUAUUCGGGUCGUGGUAGUUGCGAUUGCCCAAACUGUCAAGAAGCCGAUCGUCUAGGACCAGCCGGCGAGCACCUACGCAAAAAUAAUGUGCAUAGUUGUCAUGUUCCUGGAUGCGGCAAGGUAUACAACAAGACGUCCCACCUGAAGGCCCAUCUCCGCUGGCAUACGGGUGAGCGUCCAUUCAUUUGUAACUGGUUGUUCUGUGGCAAAAGGUUCACCCGCUCCGACGAGUUGCAGCGCCAUCAGAGAACACAUACAGGAGAGAAAAGGUUUGCGUGUCCCGUGUGUGACAAGCGUUUUCUAAGGAGCGACCAUCUUAGCAAGCAUGUGAAAACGCAUAAUGCAAAUGAUGGUAGGAAGUCAGCUGGCAGUGAUUCUGGGACCAAUGCAGCUGACGGAAACGCCAGUAACGGUAGCUCUGCGGCAGUAAAAACUGAUUAAAAAGUUUCAAUACUGUAAAAAGAAAAUUAUAAUAAUUAUAAUAAUAAUUAAGAAGUAAACGGAAACUUCAAGAUGAUAAAAAUCGAAAUAAGAAAACAAAAGAAAAAGUAAACAAACUAAAACAAACAAAAAUAUAAAACAAUGGAAAAUCAAACGAGAUCUUAAAACAUUCGUUAAAGCUCGAGAAAACGUUUCAAAAUAUUUCUCUGUGGGAGCAAAUAGAAGUUGUGUGAAUGCUAAAAAAUAUCUUUGGUCACCAUGACAGACUGACAACAAAAUAAGACAGAAUUACAGACCACACAUGCACGACAACAACUACAACAAAAUUACAACAACGACAACACAUUGAGUAAAACAACACAGAAAAAAAAAACAAGUAUAAAAAAAAACAAUAGUUGAUAUCUAAAACAAAUAAAAAGAACAGUAAAUGAAAAAAAAUAUUUCUAAAAGAAAAAUAAAUCAAACGAAAUGUAAAAGAAAGUAAAAAAAAAUAAAUAAAGUGGAAUUUAACUCCAGUCCUGACGGAACAAAAAGCAGGAUAAAAGAAAAGACAAUAAGAAGCAACUAAAAAAAACAUGAACAAUUAUAUACAAAAUCGAAGUUCAGUCCUGACGGAAAAAAAGCAGGAUAAAAGAAAAGACAAUAAGAAGCAACUAAAAAAAAAACAUGAACAAUUAUAUACAAAAUCGAAGUUAUGAAUAAACCAGUAAAUAAAUGAAUACACCAUGAAGGAAUAUCCUAUGAAAA